rnacentral:rRNA from 1 species
CCUACGGGUGGCAGCAGUGAGGAAUAUUGGUCAAUGGACGCAAGUCUGAACCAGCCAUGCCGCGUGCAGGAAGACGGCCCUAUGAGUUGUAAACUUCUUUUACGAGGGAGGAGCAGAAGACGGUACCUCUUGCAUACGCAACGGCUAACUACGUGCCAGCAGCCGCCGUAAUACGUGGGUGGCAAGCGUUGUCCGGGUUUAAUGGGUGUAAAGGGCGUGCAGCCGGGAAGACAAGUCAGGUGUGACAUCCCGCGGCUCAAGCGCGGAACUGCAGUUGAAACUGUUGUGCUUGAGUACCGGAGAGGUCAGCGGAAUGCGUGGUGUAGCGGUGAAAUGCGUAGAUAUAAGGAAGAACACCGGUGGCGAAGGCAGAUGACUGGAGGGCAACUGACGGUGAGGCGCGAAAGCGUGGGGAGCAAACAGGAUUAGAUACCCGUGUAGUC